rnacentral:rRNA from 1 species
UGGGGAAUAUUGGACAAUGGGCGAAAGCCUAAUCCAGCAAUGCCGCGUGUGUGAAGAAGGUCUUCGGAUUGUAAAGCACUUUCGACGGGGACGAUGAUGACGGUACCCGUAGAAGAAGCCCCGGCUAACUUCGUGCCGG